rnacentral:sRNA from 22 species
GGAGGUGGCUCAUGACAAUUUCCCGUUUGUCCCAGUUCUAUCGAACCUACUUAUCGACCUGUAAAGCGAAGUGGUUGCGAUGGAUAUCUACCCAACAGCGCGUUGCAUUAUUGCAGCAGGCGACGCAGUGGCACCUGAACGAAAUGUCCGACGACGAAUACCGUCAUUGGCUCUAGGUGGUGCGAGGAAAAGUAUUCUGAGUAAUGGUGAUAUUUCACCAACCAGCGAGUUUUCUCGCUGGUUUUUUUU